GACGUUAGCUCAGUGCUUCUCAAGUCCAGUCCUCAGGCCCCCCUGCUCUGCAUGUUUUAGAUGUGCCUCUAUACCAGAACAGCUGAUUCAAAGGAUUGCAUGACGUCUUCUGAAAUACUGUAUUAUACUGUAUAUCCAGGAAUCAUUUAAAUAAACUGAGACUCUGAGUUUUUACUCUAAAGGUUUACAGAUCAGAUUCCUGUCAUUUCCUGUCAGUGGUGGCAGUAUGAUGAUGUGGGGCUGCUAGUCCAACUUACAUGAACAGUACAGUUUACUUAGCAGAAUCUAGGAAUCUGGUUGCCUUAAAUAAAUUAAGUAAUCACAAAAAAGAGUUUAAGUUCACAAGAUUCAACAUUUUAUUUUAACAAAAUGAUAUACUGUACAUUUUACCGUUCGCAGUUUUUGUACUUUAACUUGCUGUUUACAAUUUAUUGUCACCUUCCUUUGAUGUGUGUGCGUGGAAAUCCGAGUAAGUCAUGUUGGAAGUCAAUGACACUGUUUAUUCAGCAGAGUAUUUCAGUUUUGCCCUUAAUUGCUAGCAUGCUUUGUACACGUGUGCACUUAAAAGCGACACAACGUGGGUUUUUUGUGUCGUGUAUCUGUUUAGAAACGGGAUGUUUGUGACUAUUAAUAUUGCAGUUAUUUAGUAUGUGUGAUGUUAUUUCAGUCAUUUGUUUGGGGAUUAUUCGGACACUGACGUUAUAUUGUGUUGGAUUCCGGGAUUUUUGGGGGGGUUCGUGUCUGGGUCCUUUUUCGGCUAGUCACUAGCCUUCCACCAGAUGGCGCCUCAGACUGCUUUUCCUGGCGGGGCGGGGGAACAGGUGUGUUCUGUUCGGCAUCUCCUCAUCAUCUCUGGAGCUCAAGAGGAGCUGACUGCCGGUUCUUCGAUGCCUGAGUGUUUGCCAGCAAUGGUAGUCAGAGCCCUCCAGCGAAAGCUCUUUGUUCACUUGAGUAACUUCCCGAGUAAUUCCUCUCGUUGUUCGAGACGCCGAGUUCCUUUGUUAAGGGAAUUUUUCCCCCUGGUUUUCUGGAACCCAUUCCCUCGUGACGCCGUGGAGAUUACCCACUGGUUGCCCGAGUCCCCGCACCUUCCCUUGGAAACGCCGUUCGUCAGUCGGAACACGCCUCUGUCUCCAGCCCGCCAGAGCCUGCCUGUCCGCCUUCCACCGCCAGCUCCUGGACCCAGCUGGUUCUCAGACAAGCCCGGACUCAUUGAGAAAACCCUUUGGACUAAACGACCUCGAUCCAACAGUUAAACCCUCCCGGACUUUCACCAUCUACUCUGCAAUGUGCCGCAUUUCCCGAGAGCCGUAUUUCCUGGACCAGACGCACCUCUGCUGAUUUUCUGAUUAUUCAAUAAACCAUUUUUACUGAUUAUCUGUUUCCCUGUGGUGUUCUGCAUGUGGGCAACAAAAGUAAACCCCAACAUGACAUAUUGUUUAUCUUUUCUAGAGCCACACCGUUACGUCAAGUUGGGGAAUAAACCGCAAGUUAAACCCA